rnacentral:rRNA from 1 species
UACAGAGGGGGCAAGCGUUGUUCGGAAUUACUGGGCGUAAAGGGCGCGUAGGCGGCCUGUUAAGUCGAACGUGAAAUCCCCGGGCUCAACCCGGGAACUGCGUCCGAUACUGGCAGGCUUGAAUCCGGGAGAGGGAUGCGGAAUUCCAGGUGUAGCGGUGAAAUGCGUAGAGAUUAGGAAGAACACCAGUGGCGAAGGCGACUUUCUGGACCAUAACUGACGCUGAGGCAUGAAAGCGUGGGGAGCAAACAGG